rnacentral:lncRNA from 1 species
CCACUAAAUAACUGUGAUUUUAUUUUAUUUUUUUCACAAAAUACAAAGCUUUGCACCACAUUAUAUUAGUGUUCUACCACAAGAAAAUCCCAGUGUUUUUUAUUGGGGGAGAGAAGUGAUUUAUAUAUAAAUAUUGAUAAGGAUACUGAUUUUAUACAUUCUUAAAAUAAUAAAAUUACCAUGACAAAGAAAUGCCAACCCUGUAUAACAUGCAGAUUAUUGCUUAUAACUUGCAUAUAUUUACUUUAAACUGGCACACAUACUAAGUAUACAAACAUUCCAAAUUUUUAAGGGAAAUACACAAAGAUGUCCAGAAACCCCUCUAAAGCACAACCAGAAACAAAAAAGAACACUAAAUUGCUAUUUUA